CUGGCCUAACAUAAUCGACACAGCUAACGUAACUGCAGCUAGUUCCUAACUAGCUACCAUUCUAGCACCUAACGUUACUUCUGGCAUGCUAGAACUCCCGGGGAAGAAGUCUUCAGCAUAGCUCGGUCUAAACCAGGACAACAAACACCAGGAGAUGAACCUAGAAUUGUUCGGGACUCCGGGAUCAAUGUGCAGGGGAGCUAGAGGUCUAUGGAGGCACAGAGGAGGCUGAAGAUGACGUUUGAGGAAGAACAACAUCGUUUCAUUUAAGUUGUCAAUGCUAAAGUGUUAAGAGAUGGAGCUUGUUGUUGCGUAAGGACAUUGUGCAGAGGGAAACAUCCCACAGAGUGAAACAAAUAGGGAAGUGGUGUCGAACAGCUGGACUGAUCAAGCAGGGAAGCAGUGGAUUAAAUGGGUGAUAACAGGAGUGGGUGCCUGUGAGUGUUUAGCACUAAAGAGGUAAGCGACAACAUUCUAGUGAAUAUUCAAAGAUUGCAAGCAACAAGGGGUGGAAUUAGGGUUAGAUAGCCUGUCUAUUCUGUUACACUUCAAGGACAGGGUACUGCCAAAUAAAGUAACCAUAGGAUAUAUGAGUUAUUAUGUGAGGUGUUUAUGUACCCAUAUGGUGGGUGCCAGGCAAUGUUGCAGUGUAGGUGCAACAAGUGAGAGUGGUGAGAAGGGUGUCAUAUGCUGAGGCAAUGAGGGUGGAUCCAGGUCUAGGGAGAUACAGGUUGAAGGGAGAGAUGGGUAGGAGCAUCUAGGCCGGGGAUUACGUGGCUGGUGGGCGGAAAUAUUGUGUACAUAGAAAAGAGAAAGCUGAUGAUGUUCAUAGCAGGAGCUAUCAAUCACUGCUAAAGUAGAGCUAAUAGUGAAUAGUGGCUUAUUUCCCUCAUUAAAAUGGAAAUCAAUUUAUCAUAUUUUUGACAUGUGUUUUGUACAUAACUGUAACACUAUCAUAUGUUGCCAUGUGUUUUGUUGUUACUCUCACUAAUCAAAUAAACCUACCAUUAAAAUUA